AUUGAACGCUGGCGGCAGGCCUAACACAUGCCAGUCGAGCGGAUGAAGGGAGCUUGCUCCUGGAUUCAGCGGCGGACGGGUGAGUAAUGCCUAGGAAUCUGCCUGGUAGUGGGGGAUAACGUCCGGAAACGGGCGCUAAUACCGCAUACGUCCUGAGGGAGAAAGUGGGGGAUCUUCGGACCUCACGCUAUCAGAUGAGCCUAGGUCGGAUUAGCUAGUUGGUGGGGUAAAGGCCUACCAAGGCGACGAUCCGUAACUGGUCUGAGAGGAUGAUCAGUCACACUGGAACUUAGACACGGUCCAGACUCCUACGGGAGGCAGCAGUGGGGAAUAUUUGACAAUGGGCGAAAGCCUGAUCCAGCCAUGCCGCGUGUGUGAAGAAGGUCUUCGGAUUGUAAAGCACUUUAAGUUGGGAGGAAGGGCAGUAAGUUAAUACCUUGCUGUUUUGACGUUACCAACAGAAUAAGCACCGGCUAACUUCGUG
rnacentral:rRNA from 1 species